rnacentral:rRNA from 1 species
AGUGAACGCUGGCGGUAGGCCUAACACAUGCAAGUCGAACGGCAGCACGGAGGAGCUUGCUCCUUGGGUGGCGAGUGGCGGACGGGUGAGGAAUACAUCGGAAUCUACUCUGUCGUGGGGGAUAACGUAGGGAAACUUACGCUAAUACCGCAUACGACCUACGGGUGAAAGCAGGGGACCUUCGGGCCUUGCGCGAUUGAAUGAGCCGAUGUCGGAUUAGCUAGUUGGCGGGGUAAAGGCCCACCAAGGCGACGAUCCGUAGCUGGUCUGAGAGGAUGAUCAGCCACACUGGAACUGAGACACGGUCCAGACUCCUACGGGAGGCAGCAGUGGGGAAUAUUGGACAAGGGGCGCAAGCCUGAUCCAGCCAUACCGCGUGGGUGAAGAAGGCCUUCGGGUUGUAAAGCCCUUUUGUUGGGAAAGAAACCCAGCUGGCUAAUACCCGGUUGGGAUGACGGUACCCAAAGAAUAAGCACCGGCUAACUUCGUGCCAGCAGCCGCGGUAA